AACGAACGCUGGCGGCAGGCUUAACACAUGCAAGUCGAACGCCCCGCACGGGGAGUGGCGGACGGGUGUGUAACGCGUGGGAACAUACCCCUUUCUACGGAAUAGCUCUGGGAAACUGGAAUUAAUACCGCAUACGCCCUACGGGGGAAAGAUUUAUCGGGGAAGGAUUGGCCCGCGUUGGAUUAGCUAGUUGGUGGGGUAAAGGCCUACCAAGGCGACGAUCCAUAGCUGGUCUGAGAGGAUGAUCAGCCACAUUGGGACUGAGACACGGCCCAGACUCCUACGGGAGGCAGCAGUGGGGAAUAUUGGACAAUGGGCGCAAGCCUGAUCCAGCCAUGCCGCGUGAGUGAUGAAGGCCUUAGGGUUGUAAAGCUCUUUCACCGAUGAAGAUAAUGACGGUAGUCGGAGAAGAAGCCCCGGCUAACUUCGUG
rnacentral:rRNA from 1 species